rnacentral:rRNA from 1 species
GACGAACGCUGGCGGCGUGCUUAACACAUGCAAGUCGAACGGAAAGGCCCUGCUUUUGUGGGGUGCUCGAGUGGCGAACGGGUGAGUAACACGUGAGUAACCUGCCCUUGACUUUGGGAUAACUUCAGGAAACUGGGGCUAAUACCGGAUAGGAGCUCCUGCUGCAUGGUGGGGGUUGGAAAGUUUCGGCGGUUGGGGAUGGACUCGCGGCUUAUCAGCUUGUUGGUGGGGUAGUGGCUUACCAAGGCUUUGACGGGUAGCCGGCCUGAGAGGGUGACCGGCCACAUUGGGACUGAGAGACGGCCCAGACUCCAACGGGAGGCAGCAGUGGGGAAUAUUGCACAAUGGGCGGAAGCCUGAGGCAGCAACGCCGCGUGCGGGAUGACGGCCUUCGGGUUGUAAACCGCUUUCGCCUGUGACGAAGCGUGAGUGACGGUAAUGGGUAAAGAAGCACCGGCUAACUACGUG